CCUGAGCAACCCUGGCAACCAUCUUUGCAGGGACUCUUCAGUGGGCACAGGCUUGGCUCCACCAGGAGAGGAGACUGCAGACACUGCUAUACUCUGAAAUUUGGAACGGCAGCUAGCUUUGGAGACUGGAAGCCCUGGAUGUGCAUCUCAGAUUCACCACUUUCUAGUUGGCUGAGCCAAUCUUCAGACAGGCCAGGUAACCCGAGCCUCUGUAAAGUGGGGAUCACAGCUACUCUAUGAAGUUGUGAGAGAGAGAAUGUUGUCAUUGGACAUGUCGAGUUGCCUCAUGAACACAAACACAUCCAACUUCCAAAGAUUGAACUACGCGUGUUUAGUAAACCAAAC
rnacentral:lncRNA from 1 species